UGUGCCGUGGCUUAGUGGUCAGAGUAUCUGCCUAGCAAGCAGGAGACCCUGGUUCGAAUACCAGUCCGGCACAA